AGAUACUUUGCAUUUUCAGCUCAUGCCUCAGUGCUCUGGGAGGGUUUAUAUUCCAGGAGGUUUAACACUUCAUGACUGACAGCUGCCCUUCAUCACAACAGACUCCAGUCAAACAUGACUUUGAUCAGCCUCAGCAUCUUGCUCUUCAUCCUCACUCACGAAUCCAGAGGACAGGUGACUGUCACUCAGACUCCUGAGGUGAAAUCAGCUUCCUCAGGACAGACAGUCACUAUAAACUGUAAAACCAACAGCCCAGUAAAUGGUGCUGGAGGCUCUUAUCCUCGCAUGGCCUGGUACCAACAGAAAUCAGGAGAAGCUCCUAAACUCUUGAUCUAUUAUGCAAGUACCAUUAACUCUGGGACUCCGUCGCGAUUCAGUGGCAGCGGAUCCAGUACUGACUUCACUCUGACUAUCAGUGGAGUCCAGGCUGAAGAUGCAGGAGAUAAUUACUGUCAGAGUUUCCACUACCUCAAUAAUAAACAUCUGUUCACACAGUGAUACAGAGCUGUACAA